GCGGGACCUGCGUAUCGGGCUCGUGUGUAUCGCAACUGGGUCGAAAUUUGUCAGUCUUUUCCAGUUUGUUACGGAGAAUAUGUAUUGAGCUAUCUGCUUACAAUCUUGGGCCCUGAUCUUGGGCAUUUAUUUGCGAUGGAUCAAGCUUCAGAGAUGGCCGAGAAGAUUACCAAGCCGGGAGCCGUCAUGGAAAUCUGUGCCAUGGAUCCCAAGCCCUUCCCAAUCAGCAUAAAACCGAAGCCGCUCUGUGAUUUUACUGGGGUUUUAUUGUGCACGACGCUGCCCAACAUGUCUCUGACGGCCGACUGGGCGGCGCGGCUGAAGGAGCUGGACGCCGGCGCGCCCAUCACCGACCUGCUCACUGACCGGCUCACCACCUCCUCUGCCGCCGUCAACAUCGACAUGUGCGUGGUGUGCGGCGACCGCGCCUCGGGACGACACUACGGCGCCAUCAGCUGCGAGGGCUGCAAGGGAUUCUUCAAGCGCUCCAUCCGCAAACAGCUGGGCUACCAAUGCCGCGGCACAAAGGACUGCGAGGUGACCAAGUACCACCGGAACCGCUGCCAGUACUGCCGACUGCAGAAGUGUCUCAAAAUGGGGAUGCGCAGCGACCUGAAGGACCUGCGCAGCCAGGGCUACCAGCGCUACUACGAGAGCCUGCCGCACCUAGCCGCAGAGGUCCGGACGCCGCGCGCCGAGUCGGGCAACGGCAGCCGCAAUUCUCCAGACAUGUCAAAUCCACGCUUCACGCUUCAGGACCGAAUCAACUCCAUCAUGGAGUCGAAUGUGGUGCAGCGAGGAUAUGGCAAGAUACAAGGAAAAAUCGGCUCCGGCGCCGUGUCGCCAGUCCCGGAGAACGGUCGGACGGAGGGCGGUCCGGCGGCCGCCGCGCCCCCGCCGCCCCUCUCCGCGGCCGCCUCCGACGAGCGCGACAAGGAGGCGGUCGGCCGCGUGGUGGAGCGUCUGACCCGCAUCCUGGAGUCGGACGAGGGCGACGGCGGCGACUCUGGCGUGGUGGCGCUGGAGGGCGCGCUGCUCGAAGGCGCGCCGCUGGCCUUCUCGGUGACGCCGCCGCCGUUCAGCGGCACGCUCGACUCGUCCUACAUCACAGAGAUCGGCUCGCGUGUGCUCAUCACCAUCGUCAAUUGGGCCAAGAGCAUCGCCGCCUUCCAGGUGCUGGCCUCGGACGUGCAGGAGAGCCUGGCGCGCGCGCGCUGGGCCGAGCUGUUUAUGCUGGCGCUGGUGCAGUGUCGCGAGGCGCUGGACCUGCCGCGGCUGCUGACGGCUGUCACACACCACCUGUCCACCUCCGUCCACGAGAGGAAGACGCCCGUCUCGCGGCUCCGACUGGUCACGCAGCACCUGUACAUGAUCCAGGAGUUUGUGGCCAGCGUGCGGCGGCUCUCACCGUCUGCCGCCGAGCUGGCGCACCUGCGCGCCAUCGUGCUGUUCCACCCGGACGGCCAGGAGCCGGCCUCGCGCCGCCAACUCGAGCUGUUCCAGAGCAAGGCGCUGGAGGGCCUGCGCCAGCUGACGGCCGAGCGGAGCGCAGAGCCCGACCGGCUGGAGCAGCUGCUGCUGCGGCUGCCGGCGCUGCGCGGCAUGAGCCCGCUGGCCGUCGACCACCUGUUCUUCCCGGAGAUCCCGCUGACGGGGCCCGUGUCGGCCAACCAGGCGCGAAUUGAGGAGCUGCUGCCGCACAUCAUCCGCGGAGACGCCGACGAUAUCGGCGGCACCGAACAGUCGAGCCCCAGCGGCGACUCGCCCUGCUCAGAAAACCCCUCCGAGUGAGUCGCCCGGCUCAGUGACGCGUCCAGGACUCCAGGAGUCCGCUCCGAGUCGGCUCCGAGUCCGGACUCGGCGCCCGGGCCGGACCUCAGGCUGUCGUUUCGGCGCUGAUCUCCGGUGUCCUGCUCCGGCCCAGUCCGGCGGGUCGGCCGGACUCGGAGGUUGUACUGGAGUGUGUGUGGCCGUGCGAGGUCCGGUUGCCCCUCUCUCCGGGGGCGUUCCGGACCCGCUCGGUGAUUGAGGGAACAACGAGCCGGCGUCAGAGUGGAGGCCGGCGCCCGCUCACCGCCGGCCGGCCCUGACCCGGCACCACUGUACAAAAUGGCGCCCCCGCUGGCGUGAUAGGUCGGCGACGACCCGCCGGCCGCGCGGUUUUUCACCCGGCGGCCCUUUUUAAACGUGAUUCGCAUUAUCCAUAUCUCGAUUUGGGCAUCAGUGCGGAACGCAGUGUCCGAGUGUUAGGCGACGUUCGUUUUUAUUCCCAUUUCGUGCAUGUUUUCUUCGAUUAUCACUCACGCGAGCGCUUGUGUUGUUUGUACAGAACAAGGGAAGUGAACAUCUUUUAUGGUCUUGUUUUGUUUUAAUGCAUAUUUUUACACGGAAAUUGACAGUGAAAUUUGCGGUGUUUUUAAAAUCGGUGCGUAAUUGUGCAUGUUUUCACGGUGUUCCUGCGGUCCACAGAUGGAUAUUUCUAGUCCCAGCAUGCCUACAUUUGUAUGAAGUGACUGUAAAUACAUUCAGAGAACAUCA
rnacentral:misc_RNA from 1 species